CGCAUUAGCUAGUUGGUGGGGUAACGGCCCACCAAGGCGACGAUGCGUAGCCGACCUGAGAGGGUGAACGGCCACACUGGGACUGAGACACGGCCCAGACUCCUACGGGAGGCAGCAGUAGGGAAUCUUCCGCAAUGGGCGAAAGCCUGACGGAGCAACGCCGCGUGAGUGAUGAAGGUUUUCGGAUCGUAAAGCUCUGUUGCCAGGAAGAACGUCCGGUAGAGUAACUGCUACCGGAGUGACGGUACCUGAGAAGAAAGCCCCGGCUAACUACGUGCCAGCAGCCGCGGUAAUACGUAGGGGGCAAGCGUUGUCCGGAAUUAUUGGGCGUAAAGCGCGCGCAGGCGGCUAUUUAAGUCUGGUGUUUAAACCUUGGGCUCAACCUGGGGUCGCACUGGAAACUGGGUGGCUUGAGUACAGAAGAGGAAAGUGGAAUUCCACGUGUAGCGGUGAAAUGCGUAGAGAUGUGGAGGAACACCAGUGGCGAAGGCGACUUUCUGGGCUGUAACUGACGCUGAGGCGCGAAAGCGUGGGGAGCAACAGGAUUAGAUACCCUGGUAGGUCCACGCCGUAACGAUGAGUGCUAGGUGUUAGGGGUUCGAUACCCUUGGUGCCGAAGUUACACAGUAAGCACUCCGCCUGGGGAGUACGGUCGCAAGACUGAAACUCCAAGGACAUUGACGGGGACCCGGACAAGCCGUGGAAGUAUGUGGGUUUAAUUCGAAAGGCAACGCGAAAGAACCUUUACCAGGUCUGAACAUUCCAAUUAACGGAAGCAGACGAUUCGCUUGGUGCCCUUCGGGGAAAGUUAACACGGUGGGGC
rnacentral:rRNA from 1 species